rnacentral:rRNA from 1 species
CGGCCGCGGNACUCUGACCGUGCAAAGGUAGCAUAAUCAUUUGCCUUAUAAUUGAAGGCUAGUAUGAAUGGUUUGAUGAAAACAAAGCUGUCUCCUUUUAAUUUUAUAAAACUUGAUUUUUGGGUGAAGAAGCCCAAAUAAAAUUGAUAGACGAGGAGACCCUAUCGAGCUUAAAAAAAUUUUAUNAAAACAAAGUUGCUUAUAAAAGACCAGUUAUAAUAAAAAAUUUUAGUUGGGGCGACUAAGGAACAAUAAAGCUUCCAUUUUUAAUAUUAUAGCAUAUUAGCUAUGAUCCAAAAUCUUUGAUUAAAAGAAUUAGUUACCGUAGGGAUAACAGCAUAAUCUUUUUUGAGAGUUCUUAUCGAAAAAAAGGUUUGNGACCUCGAUGUNGG